UCAGGAUGAACGCUAGCGGCAGGCCUAAUACAUGCAAGUCGAACGGUUUCCAGCAAUGGAGAUAGUGGCGCACGGGUGCGUAACGCGUAACCAACCUACCCGAAUCUGGGGGAUAGCCCGCCGAAAGGCGGAUUAAUACCGCAUAAGACUAUGAGCCGGCAUCGGAUGGUAGUUAAAGAUUUAUUGGAUUCGGAUGGGGUUGCGUGCCAUUAGCUAGUUGGGGGGGUAACGGCCCACCAAGGCGACGAUGGCUAGGGGAGCUGAGAGGCUGGUCCCCCACACGGGCACUGAGAUACGGGCCCGACUCCUACGGGAGGCAGCAGUAGGGAAUAUUGGGCAAUGGAGGAGACUCUGACCCAGCCAUGCCGCGUGCCGGAUGAAGGCCUUCUGGGUCGUAAACGGCUUUUUUCCGGGAAGAACCGGUUCCUUGCGAGGGGCUCUGA
rnacentral:rRNA from 1 species